UCCCUUCCGUUUCUAUUUUCCACCAAGCACUCAAUUAAAAUUUUCUUCAGCUCUCUCUCUUUAAUUUAAUUCUAGAGAGCUCCAUAAAAUUUUUAAUUGAAAUUCGAUUUUUACCCUCGACCAUCGCCAUUAAUCCCGAAUUUGCCCCUGCCUGGACCGUCGCCAUUCAUGGCUCCAGCCACCUCCUCUUCGGCGGAGGCCCGGCGGUUCGUCGGCUCGCGGAGGAGGACCGAGGCUCCGCGAGGAAUGCACUCGCCCUCGCCCUCGCCGCCGCCGAAGAAGCUGAAGUCAAUGGCGGAGAUACUCGCCAAGGCGCGCUACGCCGUGGUGGACCGCGGCGACUACAGCGACGUCAUCUGCGAGCAAUGCCGGUGUGGCGAGAGCCCCGACGAGCUCCUCCUGUGCGAUAAGUGCGAUAAAGGCUUCCAUAUGAAGUGCUUGAGACCGAUAGUUGCUAGAAUACCGAUUGGAUCGUGGCUGUGCCCGAAUUGCUCCGGCCAGAGACGUGUAAGAAGUUUUUCGCAAAGGAAGAUAAUUGAUUUUUUCAAAAUUCAGAAGUGUAAAGAGGCGAAAGAGAGAUGUGGUUGGUCUCAUCAAGAUGCUCGAAGGCGUCGAAGACGAUCGGCAUUGGUGUUACAAAAGAAAAGAAGGAAAUUGUUGCCAUUUAUUCCAUCAGAAGAUCCUGCGCAAAGGCUGAAGCAAAUGGGCACUCUUGCUUCUGCUUUAACAGCAAUGCAAUUGGAAUUCAGUGAUGAUCUAACUUAUAUGCCUGGCAUGGCACCUAGAUCUGCCAAUCAGGCAAAGUUUGAAAAUGGUGGCAUGCAGAUUCUUUCCAAAGAAGAUACAGAGACCUUGGAACAAUGUAGAGCAAUGUGUAAAAGAGGCAAAUGCCCACCCCUUGUUGUAGUUUAUGAUUCAUGUGAAGGUUUUACUGUAGAGGCAGAUGGCCCCAUAAAGGAUAUGACAUUUAUUGCUGAAUACAUUGGCGAUGUCGAUUUCCUAAAAAACCGGGAGCACGACGAUUGUGAUAGUAUGAUGACCCUUCUUUUAGCAACAGAUCCAUCUAAAAGUCUGGUCAUAUGUCCUGAUAAACGUGGAAACAUUGCUCGCUUUAUCAAUGGAAUAAACAAUCAUACUCCGGAAGGUAAGAGGAAGCGGAAUUGUAAAUGUGUGAGAUACAGUGUUAAUGGUGAAUGCCGAGUCUUUUUGGUUGCUACUCGUGAUAUUGCUCAGGGGGAGAGGCUAUACUAUGAUUAUAAUGGAUAUGAGCAUGAAUACCCUACUCAUCAUUUUGUCUGAGAAAACAAACUAUAUCAGUUUAACAGUCCUACAGAACUGAGAUGCAAUUUUGGAUCUCGAUAGACCUCUCUCAUUUGGCAUUUAUAUUAUUUCACAGCUUAUUGUUAUUGCACAGUCAAAAGCAUUUCUUCAAAUUUGUACCCAGGACCAAUUUAAUGUAACUUAUGCUGUAGGACUGAUCCAUUCUUUGUCCAUGAGAGAAUAGAGCGGGCGAGAUAAAUUUCCCUGGGAAUUUUGCAUAUGAAGAAUUUAGAUGUCCUAGAAGUUAUUCAAGAAAUAACAUCUGUUUUCUUUACAGAUUUUAAUUAAAGUUUUUGCUUUUAUCUGAUGACUUCCAUUCUAUUGCUUUCAAGAUUAGUUACUUUCUGCUGGACUGAUACGGGCAUUGUGAUCUGGUCGUAUAUCUUUCUGUUAAUCUCUCGGUCAUUCAGAAAUGUGAUGGUUACCUUUCAGUUUACAAUGCUUAACUACCAUGUGGGAUACAUGAAUAUUAGAGAAGAGAAAACCUGCAAUCAGUUCCACUUUAAUGCUGUAAUUUCUUGCAGUCACACACUUACAAUGAUGCACUUAGAACCUUCAUAAAGCAUACUUCUGCAGAAUUGGAUUGAUCACUUUGUUGCAAAGUUUUCUUUUGAGAUGAAACUAUCUUCAUCAGUUCAUUCCGAACAUUCACAAAUUAAGGAUUCUAAUUAUGACUUAUACAGAAAAGGGCAGAUUACAUCUAGACUGGAAAAAUUGAGAUGCCCUUGCUGCUUUGCAAGUGCAUGGUCGCCUUAUUGUUGACCUUUGUGUGCCUUGCUAAAGGAUGACAAAGCUGCUUCAUCUUUGGGAUUUUUGCCAAGGGAAUGAAGUACGUUCUCUCUCAGGCUUAAAUUGAUUUGGAGACCUCAUCAGAAGCAUAUGGUACUUCAUUCUUCUGUCUCGGGAGCCAAUUCUCAGUUGAUCUAAACUUGGCGGCAUCUUUCAGUUCAAGUAUGCAAGUCCUCUUUGAUCAAGCUCAAGAUGUGAUUAGCAUCUCUUGCAUUUUAUUACUUCUCACAACUACUUUAUUUUCUUUUCUGUAAGCAUUGACACAUAUUCAAA